AAUAACCUCAGCAAUGCCAUUUAUUAUAUACUUAGUAUGCUUGCUUUUGUUUCUAUUGAAAAGUACAAAUGUAUCUAGCAUGUACUAUAGAGAUAGAUUAAGUUGAUCCUUAAUCUACAAAACUUGAAUUGGAGUAACCGAAAAACAUUUGAACUAAUAAACUCUUGAAGUAAAUAAAGAUAUAAGAAAUUAUUAAACGUAAAAUGAAAUUUUAAUAUAAAUUUCCUAUAAAAAUUAUCUCUAAAAUUUUCAAAAAUACAUAAAUUGUUCAGACUACAUUACGAUAUUAAAAGAUAAAAGAAGUGUUCAAAAUUUUUGUUCAAUUUGACCAAUUUCCUUUAACAAUAAGUAAUUGUGAAAGUUUAUUCAUUUAAUAUUCAUUUCUAUUUGUCAUUGGUAUUGUUAGGAACAACUUUUGGAAACGCUUUCUGCUAUGUAUGGAUAUAUUUAUGUAAAAAGCUAAGAAUGUACUAUAUAUGAAGGAAUGUCUGUACACAUGGCGAUUUUUGUCACGAAAUCGAGGGCAUAUUUUCUGCCACACUUUAUUCUCAUAUUUAUUUACUUAUUUGUGUUGCCUUUUCACAACAAUAAACAUUGCGAUAAAAAUGAGUAUGAAAUGACUGACGUACAUAAAAAUCAACAUAAGGUGGCACAAAAGUGAUGAGCAAAAUGCGCAAUUUGUAGUGUGUGUUGAUGAGUAAAGCCGGUUUAACCGGCGAGGUGCUCGUUUUGUUCUAACAAGAUACGAGGGUAGUCGCAAAAAUGGACGGUUUUUAUGGAACAAACGGACAGAUCAAAAACUUGUGAAAAUUGCAAUAUUACGAGCUAAGUUGUUUGUAUAAUGAGUCAGGAGGUCAAAUGAUAUCUUUGAAGCAGUAUAAAACACUCACCACAUCUUUUUUAACUGACAACCCAACGAAAUCAUUAGAUCUACUAAGGCAAAUACCGCUUCGAAGAAUAAAACGGGUUUACUACAUUAAAAAAUACGAACCAACUUCAUUGUGGCUUCUCCAGAAUUCUCUUCGCUAAAACUUUGAAUCCCUUGUCUUGGAAAUCUAAAAAAAUUCUAAUAGAUAACAUUGAAAAAUUCGAUUCGAAA